GACGAACGCUGGCGGCGUGCCUAAUACAUACAAGUCGAACGAGAGCGACCGGUGCUUGCACUGGUCAAUCUAGUGGCGAACGGGUGAGUAACACGUGGGUAACCUGCCCAUCAGAGGGGGAUAACAUUCGGAAACGGAUGCUAAAACCGCAUAGGUCUUCGAACCGCAUGGUUUGAAGAGGAAAAGAGGCGCAAGCUUCUGCUGAUGGAUGGACCCGCGGUGCAUUAGCUAGUUGGUGAGGUAACGGCUCACCAAGGCCGUGAUGCAUAGCCGACCUGAGAGGGUGAUCGGCCACAUUGGGACUGAGACACGGCCCAAACUCCUACGGGAGGCAGCAGUAGGGAAUCUUCCGCAAUGGACGAAAGUCUGACGGAGCAACGCCGCGUGAGUGAAGAAGGUUUUCGGAUCGUAAAACUCUGUUGUUAGAGAAGAAUAAGUGCUAGAGUAACUGUUAGCGCCUUGACGGUACCUAAUCAGAAAGCCACGGCUAACUACGUG
rnacentral:rRNA from 1 species